rnacentral:rRNA from 1 species
AUUGAACGCUGGCGGCAGGCUUAACACAUGCAAGUCGAGCGGAGAUGAGGUGCUUGCACCUUAUCUUAGCGGCGGACGGGUGAGUAAUGCUUAGGAAUCUGCCUAUUAGUGGGGGACAACAUUCCGAAAGGAAUGCUAAUACCGCAUACGUCCUACGGGAGAAAGCAGGGGAUCUUCGGACCUUGCGCUAAUAGAUGAGCCUAAGUCGGAUUAGCUAGUUGGUGGGGUAAAGGCCUACCAAGGCGACGAGCUGUAGCGGGUCUGAGAGGAUGAUCCGACACACUGGGACUGGGACACGGCCCAGACUCCUACGGGAGGCAGCAGUGGGGAAUAUUGGACAAUGGGAGGAACCCUGAUCCAGCCAUGCCGCGUGUGUGAAGAAGGCCUUAUGGUUGUAAAGCACUUUAAGCGAGGAGGAGGCUACUGAGACUAAUACUCUUGGAUAGUGGACGUUACUCGCAGAAUAAGCACCGGCUAACUCUGUGCCAGCCGCCGCGGUAAAAC